ACGGAAGGCAGCAGUGAGGAAUAUUGGUCAAUGGGCGGAAGCCUGAACCAGCCAAGUCGCGUGAAGGAUGAAGGUAUUAUGUAUUGUAAACUUCUUUAGACGCAGAGAAAUAAGGAGGUCGAGACCUCUGAUGCUAGUAUGCGUAGAAUAAGGAUCGGCUAACUCCGUGCCAGCAGCCGCGGUAAUACGGAGGAUCCGAGCGUUAUCCGGAUUUAUUGGGUUUAAAGGGUGCGCAGGCGGUCUUUUAAGUCAGUGGUUAAAUCGUGAGGCUCAACCUCAUCACGCCAUUGAUACUGGAGGACUUGAUUGCGGUUGAGGUUGGCGGAAUUCGCCGUGUAGCGGUGAAAUGCAUAGAUAUGGCGAAGAACUCCGAUUGCGUAGGCAGCUGACCAAGCCGUAAAUGACGCUCAUGCACGAAAGUGCGGGGAUCAAACAGGAUUAGAUACCCUGGUA
rnacentral:rRNA from 1 species